ensembl:lncRNA
CUGUAAAAACUCCAACUUAAUAUUGUUGUCCUAAAAAAGUAUUUUAAGUUUUUAAGACUUGAAAAAAUAAAUUAUUCAUAUUUGACUUCAAAAUCUAAGUAAUUCCAGCAAACCAUGCAUUUUUUACGUUUCAACAGCAUUUUGUAAGUUAACACGACUUAUUUCCUUCAGUUGGGAUGCACAACCUGUGCACAACAAAUGAAAAAGUUCUGGCAACUCGUAUGUCCUUGUCGUAAAAUGCGGGAAAGCCAACUUUCCGAGUUGAGGUUUGUUACCUGAACUCACACGAGUGACUAGUCAUUUUUCGUCAGGGCUGGAGACAACACAGACAAAUUACAUAACAGCACACAGACAGACCGCAGCAUUGAAGGGCCUUCCUUUAUUUCUCCGUGAGUCACGAGAAGCUGUUCAGGAAUUGUCUGGAUACUGACCCAGAAGAGGAGAAGACAAGGGGUCUCAUAGUGGGGAUACUUUCUGUGAUGGAGGAUCACAGUUCCGCUCCUGCAAGACUUCAAAAUGUAGCUGUGGUUUUAGAAGAACAUAUCGUCUUACAAGACCUCCCUGACCUGCCAACGGCCCUUGCGUUGCUCUUUGGGCUGAUAUACGCUCUGAACAUCCAGUUUCCCAAGGAACUGCGAUACACCUUUGAAAUGUUUCAAAAGAUCUUUUUGGAGCUGGGGACAGAUCUCUCUGCAAGAGUGAGAUCCCUCAAAAACAAACUUCUUCUGUAACUCUGUGUCAGAACCUAAUGUUGAGCUGCAAGUUCUGUUGAAAACAAACUUGUUGGGCCUGUUUUAAAUUGUUAAUGUUCAUGCUGCAGCUGCCCUUUUGUAUAUUUACUUAUUUUACUCAGUCCCCCAAAUAUCUCUUCUCUUCCUGUCUAUAGGAAUAAUGCUGUAUUAUGCAUUUUAAUACAGCACGUGCUGUUAUUUCAAUGUUUUAAGAAAGCAACUGUUUCGGGUGAGCUAUUGGUCUUCUGUGCUUUUGCACAGCACUUGAGACAUGCAAGACAUGUUCAAUAAAAAAAGAUUUGAAUUGAGAUAUUAUAGCCCCUGUAAUUUCUUUCAUGCAUGAUGUAUUAUAUAUGGAG